rnacentral:rRNA from 1 species
CCUGACUGCUAUCGGAUUGAUACUAAGCCAUGCGAGUCUUUGUAGUAAUACAAGGCAGACGGCUCAGUAACGCGUAGUCAACCUACCCUAUGGACGGGAAUAAUCUCGGGAAACUGAGCAUAAUACCCGGCGUACCACCAUUCCUGGAAUGGUUGGUGGUUAAAAUGAUUCGUCGCCGUAGGAUGGGACUGCGACUUAUCAGCUUGUUGGUGAGGUAAAGGCCCACCAAGGCGAUUACAGGUACGGGCUCUGAGAGGAGAAGCCCGGAGAUGGGUACUGAGACACGGACCCAGGCCCUAUGGGGCGCAGCAGGCGAGAAAACUUUGCAAUGUGCGAAAGCACGACAAGGUUAAUCCGAGUGAUUUCUGCUAAAGGAAUCUUUUGCCAGUUCUAAAAAUACUAGUGAAUAAGGGGUGGGCAAGUUCUGGUGUCAGCCGCCGCGGUAAAACCAGCACCUCAAGUGGUCAGGAGGAUUAUUGGGCCUAAAGCAUCCGUAGCCUGCUCUGUAAGUUUUCGGUUAAAUCUAUAUGCUCAACGUAUAGGCUGCCGAAAAUACUGCAGUGCUAGGAAGUGGGAGAGGUAGACGGUACUUGAUAGGAAGGGGUAAAAUCCUUUGAUCUAUCGAUGACCACCUGUGGCGAAGGCGGUCUACCAGAACACGUUCGACGGUGAGGGAUGAAAGCUGGGGGAGCAAACCGGAUUAGAUACCCGGGUAGUCCCAGCUGUAAACGAUGCAGACUAGAUGAUGCAUUGGCAUAUAGCCAGUGCAGUGUCUCAGGGAAGCCGUUAAGUCUGCCGCCUGGGAAGUACGUACGCAAGUAUGAAACUUAAAGGAAUUGGCGGGGGAGCACCACNAAGGGGUGAAGCCUGCGGUUC